AGCGAACGCUGGCGGCAGGCUUAACACAUGCAAGUCGAGCGGACCUUUCGGGGUCAGCGGCGGACGGGUGAGUAACACGUGGGAACGUGCCUUCCGGUUCGGAAUAACCCUGGGAAACUAGGGCUAAUACCGGAUACGCCCUUAUGGGGAAAGGUUUACUGCCGGAAGAUCGGCCCGCGUCUGAUUAGCUAGUUGGUGGGGUAACGGCCUACCAAGGCGACGAUCAGUAGCUGGUCUGAGAGGAUGAUCAGCCACACUGGGACUGAGACACGGCCCAGACUCCUACGGGAAGCAGCAGUGGGGAAUAUUGGACAAUGGGCGCAAGCCUGAUCCAGCCAUGCCGCGUGAGUGAUGAAGGCCUUAGGGUUGUAAAGCUCUUUUAUCCGGGACGAUAAUGACGGUACCGGAGGAAUAAGCCCCGGCUAACUUCGUG
rnacentral:rRNA from 1 species